UACGUAGGGGGCAAGCGUUGUCCGGAUUUAUUGGGCGUAAAGAGCGUGUAGGCGGCCGUACAGGUCAGCUGUGAAAACUCGAGGCUCAACCUCGAGACGUCGGUUGAAACCGUACGGCUAGAGUCCGGAAGAGGAGAGUGGAAUUCCCGGUGUAGCGGUGAAAUGCGCAGAUAUCGGGAAGAACACCCGUGGCGAAGGCGGGCUCUCUGGGACGGUACGUGACGCUGAGACGCGAAAGCGUGGGGAGCGAACAGGA
rnacentral:rRNA from 1 species